rnacentral:misc_RNA from 1 species
AUACAUUUUUAUUUGUUUUUCUUAAGUUUUAAAAGCAUUAUUCUUUUUAUUGGACAAACCAACAAAGUUUGGGGUUUGAACAUAUAACCUCUACUCUUAACAGUUUAUUUGGGAGGAAGUUUUCGGACGUAAGGUUUGGCCUUUUAAAGUACCAUACUUCUUUUGGGAAGAAGGUUUUUCAAAGGAGGUGAGGUUUUUGGAAGUUUGAAAACUUUCAAAAUCCUUACUUUUUCUACCCACUCAACCCACCAAAAGCUUUUGAUAAUUUACUUUCCAUUACUUUACCUUUUCUUACUUAAGCUCAUAGGUUAGAUUUUAAUAAUUUAAGAGUCACAAUGAAAUAAAGCUCAUUAGUUAGAUUUUGGUACCUUCUAAUACUACAAUAAGGAACAUUGCUGUGUGGUCAAACGAAUUAAAAUCUAGGGUAAAUUACUAUCAGGUCCCUAUGGUUUGUCAAAAUUAACUACAUAGUCCCUAUUUUCCUAAAACCAAAUUAAAAAUUCCCGGUAUUUUAAAAAAUUAAACUCUUUUAGUCCUUCUAUCAAAGAAAAUAUUAAUCAACUUGCUUUAGCAUUGAAUAUUUAUAUUGUUUAGUCCUUAUAACUUUAACCAUUCUUACCAUU